rnacentral:rRNA from 1 species
GAUGAACGCUGGCGGCGUGCUUAACACAUGCAAGUCGAACGGAAAGGCCCAAGCUUUCUUGGGUGCUCGAGUGUCGAACGGGUGAGUAACACGUGGGUGAUCUGCCCUGCACUUUGGGAUAAGCCUCGGAAACUGGGUCUAAUACCGGAUAGGACCAUCGUUUAGUGUCGGUGGUGGAAAGUUUUUCGGUGUGGGAUGAGCUCGCGGCCUAUCAGCUUGUUGGUGGGGUAAUGGCCUACCAAGGCGUCGACCGAUAGCCGGCCUGAGAGGGUGUACGGCCACGUUGGGGCGGAGAGACGGCCCAGACUCCUACGGGAGGCAGCAGUGGAGAAUAUUGCACAAUGGGCGCAAGACUGAUGCAGCGACGCCGCGUGGGGGAUGACGGCCUUCGGGUUGUAAGCUGCUUUCGCCAAGGACGAGGCGUUUUGUGACGGUACUUGGAGAAGAAGCACCGGCUAAAUACGUG